AUUAAAAAAUGUGUACAUUUUUGUACUAAUUAAUCAUCCUACCCUUUGUGAAUUUGUUUGUAACGAAUUUUUUUAAAUGGUCUUUCCUAAGUUGGAUUGUAGUAAAAAUACAAAAGACUUAGGGAAUGACUUUUUAAAGACUUUUUUUUAAAUUAAACUUUUUGUAUUCAUUUGUCUAAAAUUAUUUUAUAAUAUAAAAACAACUUUUGACAAUGGAUCUCUUGGUUCUCGCAACGAUGAAGAACGCAGCAAAAUGCGAUAAGUAGUGUGAAUUGCAGAAUACGUGAAUCAUCGAAUCUUCGAACGCAUAUUGCACUUUUUUAGUUUACUAAAAAAGUAUGUCUGUUUGAGUAUCAGUAAAAUAUUCUCACAAAAUUAUUGUUUGUGGUAUGAGUGUUUUACAACGAUAAACAAGUUGUUUCACUUUAAAUUUUUUUGAAGAUUUUACUAAUUCAAAUUAAAAUUGGAUAAAAUUUUCCUUAACGAGGAAUAACCUAAACAAUUUUAAAUUUUUGGAUUUUAAAUCAUAAAGGAAUUUAUAUAAAUAACUUGAUCUCAAAUCAGAUAAGAGUACCCGCUGAACUUAAGCAUAUCAAUAAGCGAGGAAAAGAACUAACAAGGAUUCCCUUAGUAACGGCGAGUGAAGCGGGAAGAGCUCAAUUUGAAAUCUUCAAGGUUUGACCUUGACGAAUUGUAGUUUAUAGAAGUGUUUUCUGUUGAGUUUUGGUAAAAGUUCUUUGGAAUAGACAUCAUAGAGGGUGAGAAUCCGUAUUUGACCAUGACUUCAGCUGUGUGAUACACUUUCAAAGAGUCGGAUUGUUUGGGAAUGCAGUCCAAAAUGGGUGGUAAAUUUCAUCUAAAGCUAAAUAUUGCGAGAGACCGAUAGCGAACAAGUACCGUGAGGAAAGAUGAAAGAACUUUGAAAAGAGAGUUAAACAGUACGUGAAAUUGUCAAAAGGAAGCGUUGACCCAGUGUUGUUUUCUCGAAAAUCAAUUAAUGAUUCUUGUUUUUAAGUUAUUGUGACUUUAUCAGCGCAUUUCUUAUUUACUUGACUCAUUGAAUGCACUUUUCGUUUAACAAGUCAACAUCAAUUUCUUUGUGGUAAAAGUUUAAGGAAGGUGGCUUGGAUUCGUUCAAGUGUUUAUAGCCUUUUUCUAUGCCAUCGGAGAGAUUGAGGUCUGCAGCGUAGAUCCUUCGGGUAGAUACCUUUGUGCUAAUUAUAGUUUUUAUAGACAACUUGUUGACUAUAAUUACCUGUAAUUUACUCGCUUAGGCUAUUUUACCUACGCUUAGGAUGUUG
rnacentral:misc_RNA from 1 species